rnacentral:lncRNA from 1 species
GGGAUUGAAUUAGAGGAAUCCAAUCUGCCAAUUAUUGACAUUAUUGUGGCUACCUAUGUAUUGUUUAAUGACUAUGAUGGGAUGGGAUUUAUAUGGCGUCAUGCAAUGAGUUAUCUUAUUUAUCCAUAGGAAUCAUUCAAUCAUGGUCAUCACAUAUGUGAUUGGUGGACUUUAAUUUAGAGGAUGGACCUUAUAACUUACAUGCAAACUUUAAUUU